rnacentral:lncRNA from 1 species
GAAAUAAACAGCCAUGUAGCUCACACAACGCCUGUUUGGUGGUCUCUUCACACGGACGCACAUGAAAUUUGGUGCCCUGACUCGGAUCGGGGGACCUCCCUUGGGAGAUCAAUCCCCUGUCCUCCUGUUCUUUGCUCCCUGAGAAAGAUCCACCUAUGACUUCAGGUCCUCAGACUGACCAGCCCAAGGAACAUCUCACCAAUUUUAAAUCAGCGGCCAGGCGUUCCUCCAGAACCUCCUCCCACAGGAACUUGCUACACGUGCUGGAAAUCUGGCAACUGGACCAAGGAAUGCCCGCAGCCCGGGAUUCCUAAGCCGCAUCCCAUCUGUGUGGGACCCCACGGAAAAUCGGACUGUUCAACUCACCUGGCAGCCACUCCCAGAGCCCCUGGAACUCUGGCCCAAGGCUCUCUGACUCCUUCCCAGAUCUUCUCGGCCUAGCGGUUGAAGACUGACACUGCCCAAUCACCUCGGAAGCCCCCUAGACCAUCACGGACGCCGAGCUUCAGAUACGCGCAUGAAAGGAAGAUUAAGAAAAACAAAAAAAUGUAAAUUUACUGGACACUGAAUAUAUACUAAGUACUGCUUAAGUGAUUUACAUGUCAAGAUUAAAAUAUUUUGCUUUACUUUAAUUAUCAUCAUAUUCUUCAUCCAUCUUUCAUUUCAUCUUCAUCAUGCCAUUUCUUUCUCCUUCCCCUGGGCCUGAAAUUUUAUCAAGAAGACACACUUGCUGUGUGACUUGAUUAAUUUACUUAAGCAUGGUAAGCCUUUGUAUAAUAUGGAA